rnacentral:rRNA from 1 species
UAGGGAAUCUUCGGCAAUGGACGAAAGUCUGACCGAGCAACGCCGCGUGAGUGAAGAAGGCUUUCGGAUCGUAAAACUCUGUUGUUAGAGAAGAACAAGGACGUUAGUAACUGAACGUCCCCUGACGGUAUCUAACCAGAAAGCCACGGCUAACUACGUGCCAGCAGCCGCGGUAAUACGUAGGUGGCAAGCGUUGUCCGGAUUUAUUGGGCGUAAAGCGAGCGCAGGCGGUUUCUUAAGUCUGAUGUGAAAGCCCCCGGCUCAACCGGGGAGGGUCAUUGGAAACUGGGAGACUUGAGUGCAGAAGAGGAGAGUGGAAUUCCAGGUGUAGCGGUGAAAUGCGUAGAUAUAUGGAGGAACACCAGUGGCGAAGGCGGCUCUCUGGUCUGUAACUGACGCUGAGGCUCGAAAGCGUGGGGAGCAAACAGG